rnacentral:tRNA from 1 species
GCCUGGGUGGCUCAGUCGGUUAAGCGUCUGACUUCAGCUCAGGUCAUGAUCGCGUGGUUCAUGGGUUCGAGCCCCGUGUCAGGCU